UUGGCCUACGGGAGGCAGCAGUGAGGAAUAUUGGUCAAUGGGCGCGAGCCUGAACCAGCCAAGUAGCGUGAAGGAUGACUGCCCUACGGGUUGUAAACUUCUUUUAUAAAGGAAUAAAGUGAGGCACGUGUGCCUUUUUGUAUGUACUUUAUGAAUAAGGAUCGGCUAACUCCGUGCCAGCAGCCGCGGUAAUACGGAGGAUCCGAGCGUUAUCCGGAUUUAUUGGGCGUAAAGCGAGUGCAGGCGGUUCAAUAAGACUGAUGUGAAAGCCUUCGGCUCCACCGG
rnacentral:rRNA from 1 species